UCAAUAAAACAGUAGUUAAACAGGGGAAAAAAUGUUUCACUUGUUUUUUGCACUAGGUUGUCCACCCCAAAACCAAUUUGCAAAUCCCAUGCCUCAACAAGAAGGAAUUGAACUGGCUUCCUUAGCCACAGAGUUCAAGAACCAACCACCUCCAGCUCAGACAGUCAUGAAUCCGUCUGGUCCAAUUAAUGCAAUGCAAUACCAGAUUAACCCGUAUGGAGGAUAUCCAAUCCAAUGCUACCUUCCAAAUCCCAUGUCUCAGCCUGAAGCUCCUGCACCAGCUCCUCCUGCAGAGCUCCAGCCGGUGAAUCAACCAGCUCCAGUUCAGCCGGUUGUGAAUCCAUCUGGUCCAAGUAAUCCAGCACCUCAACAGGGUCAGCCAUAUGCAGGUAAACACAGAAUAAAUGUAUGUUUGAGGAGUUUAUAGUAAUAUUUAGAUGUAAAAAGUAAGGAAAUUAAAGUUCAAGGUUUUUACUUGCUUUAUCGAAUUUUGUUUAAACUAGGCUAUCCAGUCCAAAACUACCUUCCAAAUCCAAUUCCUCAGCCAGGACAAUACAUAGCCGCCUAUUCCAUUGGAGGUUAUGGAGUAGCUGGAGCAGCUCCUCAACAUGCAGGGAUCCAUCCAUGCAAUCAACCAGCUCCAGUUCAGCCGGUCAUGAAUCCAUCUGGUCCAAGUAAUCCAGCAUCUAACCAGGUUCAC